GGUUGAUCCUGCCAGUAGUCAUAUGCUCGUUUCAAAGAUUAAGCCAUGCAUGUCUAAGUAUAAGCGAAAUUAAUACUGUGAAACUGCGUACGGCUCAUUAUAUCAGUUAUUGUUUCUUCGGUAGUAUUUCUUUUAGUUGGAUACUUGCAGUAAUUCUGGAAAUAAUACAUGCAAUAAGAACUCAACUUUCUUGGAAGGAAGAGUUGCAUUUAUUAGAAUUGAAACCAUUCUUACAUUAUGGUGAAUCAUGAUAACUUAGCAAAUUAUGUUUUUUUUUGAAACAUGAUGAAUC
rnacentral:rRNA from 1 species